GAAUUUUAGGGCAGUAUAACUGCAAAAUGUGUCACCUCAUUGAUCACUAUGGUUCAUUCAGCUAAUAUGACUGGGUAAGUCAGUGUCCCCUUCUUCUCUCACUGCUCCAUGUGCAUCUGUCCCAAAGCUGCACUUCAGCAAAUAGAAAGAUCUUCCCAGAUUGAGGCAUAUUAUAUUUAGUCAAGUGUAUAUGAAAAGCCACCUUAUCCUGCUAGAACCAUCUCCCAAAGAAGCUGAGCAAUAGGACAACUCCCUUUUUAUAGAG
rnacentral:snRNA from 1 species